UGGGGCUGGAGAAGGUCCCAAGGGUUUGGCUGUUCGCCAAUUAAAGCGGUACGCGAGCUGGGUUCAAACCGUCGUGAGACAGGUUGGUCUCUAUCUGCCGUAGGCGCCGUUGCUUGAGAAGAGUCUUUCUUAGUAAGAAAAUUGCUACUUUUUCGAGUAAUCGAAAUUGAAAAUCCGACUAAUAACGGUGAAACCUUCAUAAAAUUGUGGCCAAUUGAGCUUAUUUCUUUGCGGUCCAGAGAAAAUAUGCUAGAAUAAACUUACUUGAGGACCAUAAUUUUAUAAGGCAAUACCGUGGGAAGUCGUCCCAAAACUAAUUUAGCUUAUAUAGCUGGUUUUCUUGACGGAGACGGAAGCCUGAUGAUGCAAAUAAAAAAACGAAGCGAUAACCAAAAAAAUCGCUUUAUGCUCACAAUUUGCAUGUAUCAGGACACUCGUCAUGAAAAACCGUUGCUUUGGAUCAGAAAAGAACUUGAAAUUGGAUACAUCUGCCGGAGAAACGACAAUAUUACGGAACUGCGGGUGAAUGGCUACCAGCAGGUGGAAAGAAUAUUAAAAUUAUUGAUUCCGUAUAUCAAGUUCAAGAAAAUCCAAGCCGUAACAUUGCUGAAAUCCGCGAAAAUUCUUCGUAAAAAAAAAUUUUCUCAAAGAGAUUUGAGAAAAUUAGUUGACUAUAUUCUGGCGAUUCAAAAAGAAAAUUAUGUCUCGCGAAGAAAGAAAAGCAAAAAAGAGCUAAUGAAAAUUUUAGGAUUGACCCCGUAACGACUUUGGUCCGACGUCACGUCGGACCAGAAUAGCGAGUUAAUAAAAAAUCUAAACCGCUAUAAUAUGUCGGCCCCGCCCAAAUUUCUUCGAAAAUUGCGGCGGGUGAAGAUAUAGUCUGGGCCCGCAGAAAUGCGGGAUUACAACCGACGAGAGGACCGGAAAGAACGAACCUCUGGUGUACCAGUUGAUCCUGCCAAGGGCAAUGCUGGGUAGCUAUGUUCGGAAGGGAUAACCGCUGAAAGCAUAUAAGCGGGAAGCCCACUUCAAGAUUAGGCAACUCUAGUGCUUGCACUAGAUGGCUUCCUGGGAGAUGACCAGGUUGAUAGGCUUCAGGUGUAAGUGCGGCAACGCAUUGAGCCGAGAAGUACUAAUAAGCCGAAGA
rnacentral:rRNA from 1 species